GAACGCUAGCUACAGGCUUAACACAUGCAAGUCGAGGGGCAGCGGGAUUGAAGCUUGCUUCAAUUGCCGGCGACCGGCGCACGGGUGAGUAACGCGUAUCCAACCUUCCGUACACUCAGGGAUAGCCUUUCGAAAGAAAGAUUAAUACCUGAUGGUAUGAUGAGAUUGCAUGAUAGCAUCAUUAAAGAUUUAUCGGUGUACGAUGGGGAUGCGUUCCAUUAGGUAGUAGGCGGGGUAACGGCCCACCUAGCCAACGAUGGAUAGGGGUUCUGAGAGGAAGGUCCCCCACAUUGGAACUGAGACACGGUCCAAACUCCUACGGGAGGCAGCAGUGAGGAAUAUUGGUCAAUGGACGAGAGUCUGAACCAGCCAAGUAGCGUGAAGGAUGAAGGUCCUACGGAUUGUAAACUUCUUUUAUAAGGGAAUAAACCCUCCCACGUGUGGGAGCUUGUAUGUACCUUAUGAAUAAGCAUCGGCUAACUCCGUGCCAGCAGCCGCGGUAAUACGGAGGAUGCGAGCGUUAUCCGGAUUUAUUGGGUUUAAAGGGAGCGCAGACGGGUCGUUAAGUCAGCUGUGAAAGUUUGGGGCUCAACCUUAAAAUUGCAGUUGAUACUGGCGUCCUUGAGUGCGGUUGAGGUGUGCGGAAUUCGUGGUGUAGCGGUGAAAUGCUUAGAUAUCACGAAGAACUCCGAUUGCGAAGGCAGCACACUAAUCCGUAACUGACGUUCAUGCUCGAAAGUGUGGGUAUCAAACAGGAUUAGAUACCCUGGUAGUCCACACGGUAAACGAUGGAUACUCGCUGUUGGCGAUAUACUGUCAGCGGCUUAGCGAAAGCGUUAAGUAUCCCACCUGGGGAGUACGCCGGCAACGGUGAAACUCAAAGAAUGACGG
rnacentral:rRNA from 1 species